AGAUUGAACGCUGGCGGCAGGCCUAACACAUGCAAGUCGAGCGGUAGAGAGGUGCUUGCACCUCUUGAGAGCGGCGGACGGGUGAGUAAUGCCUAGGAAUCUGCCUAGUGGUGGGGGAUAACGUUCGGAAACGGACGCUAAUACCGCAUACGUCCUACGGGAGAAAGCGGGGGACCUUCGGGCCUCGCGCCAUUAGAUGAGCCUAGGUCGGAUUAGCUAGUUGGUGAGGUAAUGGCUCACCAAGGCGACGAUCCGUAACUGGUCUGAGAGGAUGAUCAGUCACACUGGAACUGAGACACGGUCCAGACUCCUACGGGAGGCAGCAGUGGGGAAUAUUGGACAAUGGGCGAAAGCCUGAUCCAGCCAUGCCGCGUGUGUGAAGGAAGGUCUUCGGAUUGUAAAGCGUACUUUUAAGGUGGGUAGGUAAGGGUUAGUUAACUUAAGUACGUUGACUAAUUUGAACGUUACCGACGAAG
rnacentral:rRNA from 1 species